AGUGAACGCUGGCGGUAGGCCUAACACAUGCAAGUCGAACGGCAGCACAGUAAGAGCUUGCUCUUACGGGUGGCGAGUGGCGGACGGGUGAGGAAUACAUCGGAAUCUACUUUUUCGUGGGGGAUAACGUAGGGAAACUUACGCUAAUACCGCAUACGACCUACGGUGAAAGCAGGGGAUCUUCGGACCUUGCCCGAUUGAAUGAGCCGAUGUCGGAUUAGCUAGUUGGCGGGGUAAAGGCCCACCAAGGCGACGAUCCGUAGCUGGUCUGAGAGGAUGAUCAGCCACACUGGAACUGAGACACGGUCCAGACUCCUACGGGAGGCAGCAGUGGGGAAUAUUGGACAAUGGGCGCAAGCCUGAUCCAGCCAUACCGCGUGGGUGAAGAAGGCCUUCGGGUUGUAAAGCCCUUUUGUUGGGAAAGAAAAGCAGCAGGUUAAUACCCCGCUGUUCUGACGGUACCCAAAGAAUAAGCACCGGCUAACUUCGUG
rnacentral:rRNA from 1 species